rnacentral:rRNA from 1 species
UACGUAGGUGGCAAGCGUUGUCCGGAAUUAUUGGGCGUAAAGGGUGCGUAGGCGGUUUUUUAAGUGGGAUGUGAAAUCCACAGGCUUAACUUGUGAAUUGCAUUCCAAACUGGAAGGCUUGAGUACAGGAGAGGAAAGCGGAAUUCCCAGUGUAGCGGUGAAAUGCGUAGAGAUUGGGAGGAACACCAGUGGCGAAGGCGGCUUUCUGGACUGUAACUGACGCUGAGGCACGAAAGCGUGGGGAGCAAAC